rnacentral:rRNA from 1 species
UACGUAGGGGGCAAGCGUUGUCCGGAUUUAUUGGGCGUAAAGCGCGUGUAGGCGGCCAGGUAGGUCUGCUGUGAAAACUCGAGGCUCAACCUCGAGAUGUCGGCAGAAACCCUCUGGCUAGAGUCCGGAAGAGGAGAGUGGAAUUCCCGGUGUAGCGGUGAAAUGUGUAGAGAUCGGGAGGAACACCGGUGGCGAAGGCGGGUCUCUGGGCAAUUCCUGACGCUGAGGCGCGAAAGCGUGGGGAGCAAACGGG